rnacentral:lncRNA from 1 species
AACUUGCCAAUUAUGCUUUCCAGAUAUUACAGGGGACUCCGAUUGGCUCUCCCCGAGUCACGUGCUCCCUGCUGGCCAAAUAACAGUAGCCUGGAGUGUGAAGUUCAUGGGAUCUCACUCCUAAAUUCAAAAGUUAAGACAAUGAGGAUGGCUGUCUUACAAGACCUAAUGGCCCUUGACGUACUAACAGAAGCGCGAGGAGGAACCUGUGCCAUCAUUAGAGUGCUGUGUAUAUAAACCUGACAACUGGGACAAUAUGUCCCCAGUCCUCCAAGAUUUACAUACUCAAAUUAAAUCUCUUGUCAAGCCCU